UAAGCACUGUGUUUGGUAUUUUCAAUUUUUCGUUUCUCUGACUCGUCGCUUUCACUCAAUUUAUAGUUUUAUUUCAGAUUUUUUAUUUUUGGAUUUGAUCCUUUAUUUACACGGAGAUAGAGCUUGAGUCCAUUGGCUAACAGGACAUAACUGACAUCAGGUGGCAGAAGUGAUUUAACUUUUUUAUUUUCACACUGUCAUCCUCCCUCUGAUGUGGCAUACAGAAGUGAUGAUGCUCUUUUUAGACUUGAGGCUGGACUUACUGUUAGUGCUUCUGUGGUUUUGGAUGAGUCAGCGCCCGGAGGUCAAAGCAGCUUCCUGUGUGGCUCCAGAGGAUGGAUGAAGGAGGAGUAAAGCUGGGAGUAAAUCAGAUGGGUGAACGGCCGCGGUGACACAUGCCGAGGUUCUCCACGUGUUCCUCAGGCCGUUCCCUGAGCGGUUCUUGCGGCUCUCACUCUCGGAGCGGCUGCGCCGGUUCUUGGCAGGCCCGCUCGCUGGCUCGACUGUAGUGCUUCCAGGAGUCAGCCAGCCCGGGCAGAUGGAGUUCAGCUUUUCCAGACGAGAUAAAACUCUGCUGCGAACAGGCGGCCCCGGUGGGCAGGCAGCGGUCGCCACAGCUGGGAGGGAAACACCCUCCCUGCGGCUUCCCUCUCAUGACAAAUAUUAAAGACCUGGCUUUUGCUUUCUGGCCGUUUGUGCUGCUUUUUAUUGGAGUUUCAUUUUGUGGUGGAGGAGUCUGUUUUUAGUUUGAUAUCUGCAAGCGCCUCGUCGGAUCCAGACGCAAAUAAGUAAAUUAAAAAUGCUGAUCAGGUGAUGUAUGCAUUUCUACAAAAGUUUUCCUUUUUUUGCAAAAGGUGGCUCAUUUUUUCAUCCCUUUUGUUUCAUAAAGUCAUUAAAGAUUACAGAAAUGGCAGCUUCAUCUGGCUCCGCAUGAUCAUUUCUAAGCGAGUAUCUGUAAAAUAUUGUUAAAUAAAAGUUAUUUCAUUGAAUUACUUCCCAAUUUGAAAACCUACUUUAAUCCUGAUCAAUUUAAAAAGAGUUCCUAGCGAUCUUUUAAUUACUUUUAUGCUGUUUUUUGUGUCAAAAUUAAAUGAAAAAAUGUUUUCUAGGACAUAGUUUCUGCAGAGCGGCAGUAGCUCAUUCUUAAUUCAUCUCUGAGUUGUGGGCGCCCCUACUUCCCUUCAUCCAUCUGUUUACAGUCCCACUAGCUUACAGCCCCCCACAACCCAAACCUAAUAAAAAAAAUCUGCAAACAACAAGCUGAAUUUUUCCUUCUGUUCCAAAUUCAUAACAAAAAAAAAAAAAAUUUUUAAGAUCAAAUUUCUUUAUAUAUGUCAUGCAUGAUGAGAAAAAUGGUACAGGAACAUGUAAAAACACAAUUUCUUAAAAGCACUCAAAUGCAGUGCCGGCCCUGAGCAUAGGCGGCCGCCUUGGGGGCUAUCAGCUGGAGGACACCAAAUUGAAAUGAUUAUUAUUUUAUUUUAUUUUUUUACAGUUUAACACGCCACUCAUUUUGUGUAAAAAAAAAAAUAAAAAAAAAAAAA